UACAGAGGUGGCAAGCGUUGUUCGGAAUUACUGGGCGUAAAGGGCGCGUAGGCGGUCUUGUCAGUCCCUUGUGAAAUCCCCCGGCUCAACUGGGGAACUGCAAGGGAAACAGCAGGGCUUGAGUUCGGGAGAGGGAAGCGGAAUUCCGGGUGUAGCGGUGAAAUGCGUAGAUAUCAGGAGGAACACCGGUGGCGAAGGCGGCUAUCUGGACAGAGUCUGACGCUGAGGCGCGAAAGCUAGGGGAGCAAACAGG
rnacentral:rRNA from 1 species